rnacentral:rRNA from 1 species
CAGCAGCCGCGGGAAUACCAGCAGCCCAAGUGGUGGUCGCGAUUAUUGGGCCUAAAGCGCUCGUAGCCGGGCCGGUAAGUCCCUUGUGAAAUCGGACGGCCUAACCGUUCGGCGUGCAAGGGAUACUGUCGGUCUUGAGGCCGGGAGACGUCCGAGGUACUCCGGGGGUAGCGGUGAAAUGUUCUGAUCCUCGGGGGACCACCGGUGGCGAAGGCGUUCGACGAGAACGGGCCUGACGGUGAGGGGCGAAGGCUAGGGGAGCAAACGGGAUUAGAUACCCCCGUAGUCCCUGUCUCUUAUA